rnacentral:rRNA from 1 species
UAAGGAAUAUUGGUCAAUGGAGGCAACUCUGAACCAGCCAUGCCGCGUGCAGGAAGACUGCCCUAUGGGUUGUAAACUGCUUUUAUCCGGGAAUAAACCUUUCUACGUGUAGAGAGCUGAAUGUACCGGAAGAAUAAGGAUCGGCUAACUCCGUGCCAGCAGCCGCGGUAAUACGGAGGAUCCAAGCGUUAUCCGGAUUUAUUGGGUUUAAAGGGUGCGUAGGCGGCCUGUUAAGUCAGAGGUGAAAGACGGUAGCUCAACUAUCGCAGUGCCUUUGAUACUGAUGGGCUUGAAUGAACUAGAGGUAGGCGGAAUGAGACAAGUAGCGGUGAAAUGCAUAGAUAUGUCUCAGAACACCGAUUGCGAAGGCAGCUUACUAUGGUUUAAUUGACGCUGAGGCACGAAAGCGUGGGGAUCAAACAGGAUUAGAUACCCCCGUAGUCC